rnacentral:rRNA from 1 species
UACGAAGGUCCCAAGCGUUAUCCGGAUUUAUUGGGUUUAAAGGGUGCGUAGGCGGGUUAUUAAGUCAGUGGUGAAAGCCUUCAGCUCAACUGAAGAACUGCCAUUGAUACUGAUGAUCUUGAGUACGAUUGAGGUAGGCGGAAUGUGUCAUGUAGCGGUGAAAUGCUUAGAUAUGACACAGAACACCGAUUGCGAAGGCAGCUUACUAAGCCGUAACUGACGCUGAUGCACGAAAGCGUGGGGAGCAAACAGG